rnacentral:rRNA from 1 species
AAAAUAGGGCCGAACAGCCUCAGAGCAGUUAUAAGUAUCCGAGGCCACGAAGCACAAUCACGAAAGUAGCCCUACUAAACUUCUGACCCCACGAAAACCAUAAAACAAACUGGGAUUAGAUACCCCACUAUGUAUGAUUGUUAACAUCGAUGAUUCAAUACCCAAAUCAUCCGCCUGGGUAAUACGAGCGCUAGCUUAAAAUCCAAAGGACUUGGCGGUGCUUUAGACCCCCCUAGAGGAGCCUGUUCUAGAACUGAUAACCCCCGUUAAACCUCACCAUCCCUUGUUUAAUCCGCCUAUAUACCACCGUCGUCAGCUUACCCUGUGAAGGAAAUAUAGUAAGCAUAAAUGGCAAAGCCAUAAACGUCAGGUCGAGGUGUAGCGAAUGGGCUGGGAAGAAAUGGGCUACAUUCUCUACCAUAGAGAAUACGAAUGGCAGUUUGAAAAAACUGCCUUGAAGGAGGAUUUAGCAGUAAGCAGAGAAUAGAGAGCUCUGCUGAAAACGGCCCUAAAACGCGCACACACCGCCCGUCACUCUCUCCAAAUACUCAUAAUUAUUUACCUAAAAUAUUUAAACUAACAAGGAGAGGCAAGUCGUAA